AUUUAUGAAGUAAAUCUACGUUUAAUUUCGACCUAAAAAAAUGAUUAAUUUAAUUAAUCCAUAAAUA
rnacentral:tRNA from 1 species